rnacentral:rRNA from 1 species
UAAUUAGCGGUAAAUACGCUAUAUUUCUAUACAAGAAGAAUAUAGAUAAAAAUUAACAAAUAUUGGAAAAUAUUAGGAUAUUAUCAAUAUCCUUUUCCCUUUUCUAUAUAUUCUGUUUUUUUUUCUGUUUCUUUUUUGCAUAGAAAUGUAUUUACUUUUUAAAAAGCUUCUUAGAGGGACAUUGUGUGUCUAACACAAGGAAGUUUAAGGCAACAACAGGUCUGUGAUGUCCUUAGAUGAACUAGGCUGCACGCGUGCUACACUGAUAUAUAUAACGAGUUACUAAAAAUAUACAAAUAUACAUACAUUUUAUGUGUGUAUAUUUUGUAUACUUUUCCUCCACUGAAAAGUGAAGGUAAUCUUUAUCAAUA